rnacentral:lncRNA from 1 species
CUAAAAUAGGUAAUUGGCCCUAAACCACCUAUGAAGACAAAGACACGGUUGUGGCAUCACCCAAAUUCAAUUUAAAAUGCUUUUUUAUUAAAUUUGUUUAUUACUUGUGGCAACAAAAGCAAUAAAAACCAUCUAUUAAUAAUUUGUUCAAAUGUAAUUAUGAAGGCCACGCCCACAUUGGAAGUCAUUGACUGGAAAUUGCAAUGCAAUUUAAAACCAAUUUAUGUUAAAAUGAAAUGAGACAGUAAAAAUUUGGUUACGGAUGAGCAGUAGUUUAACAGAAAAUCAUCAUCAUCAACUAACUUACAACACUGUCAAAACCGAAAAUAAAUAUUUGAUUGUAGCCAAUACUCAUAAUAGUCUGUUUUGAUAGAAAUCAAACUGUAGAAGUUAACAUAACAACAAUUAAUAGACUGUCACUUAACUAACAUAACUCAUAAUCCAGCAACAUAACAGACUAACCAUAAAUCAGACACUAACAAGUUUCAAAACAUUUCAACAAUAGCACCAACACUGCAAAUUUAUCCAAGCACGUGAACUUUAACCAUCCACCUUCAACACAAUAUCAUUCCAACCAUGUAGAACCAUGACAACAUGGUUUCAAUAGCAGUAAAAUAAUUCAUGACAUGCCACAUAUCAUGCUAACAUCAAUCCAAAUAACAUGACUAUCAUAUGUGCAUCAUCACUAACUGCAAAGUUCAGUUUCACAACAGCAUAAUUAACUCAUCACAUUCUCAAACAACAUCACAAUGAAAACAUUAUAGAAAGUUCACAAAAAUGAGUGUUAACCUGCACAAUUCAAUUGAAUACAUGACAUGAUAAAAAACGACUCACCUGCAAGGUUCUUUUUUUUAACCUACAAAGUUACCUAACAGGAAAACUAGGCUUCACCUGUAUCAUCUUUUUAGCAGAACCAUCAAAUUAACUUCACAUUUGCUUCACUCUAACACUAAGUAGAAAACUAACUCUAAUUAUAUUUAACAGGACUAACAUAAUCAUAACAAGUGGGCUCAAUUCAAACUAACCAACUGACAUAUUUUAGAGAUUGUAGCUAACUGCCAACUCAUUGAGUUAACAGAAUCAACUCACUUAGUUCAUCCUAACUAACUCCUAGCCUCCUCAUAACUAACUCCUAAGCUCACUCUAAACCUAAUCACUUUGAAACACUUUGAAACUCUCUGAAUUUCUCUCUCACCCUCACACAAAGCUUAAUUAGGAAGCCAUUGGAGCUUCACAUUGAAGCUCCAAAUUGUGCUUGAGCUGAUAACCACUCCCCCUACGCUUAUGCAAGCUACAAGAACUUCAAAGCAAGAAGUUUCUACAGACUAGACAUGUAGAAGAAUAAGAAAGAAGAAUCAAGGAAAAUGAAGGAAGAAGAGUGGAUAAGAUUCGAGGAGUUUACCUGAAAGAGUCUCUGGCCGGUAAGCUUCAGUGCGUCUUUUUCUUUAUUUUGUCUUCAAAAUUAUUGACAGGAUACAAUUCUUUUCCUAUGAAGUUAAAGCCCUAAACGCGUUAGAUCCAAUUUCAUCUAUCUUGCAUUUAAUUUCGGAUCUUCGAUUUAGGGUUUAUAGAGGAGUUGUCUUCGAUUUAUGGUUUCAUUUGAGAAUCGGAAAAAAUCAGGGGCAUAUAUAGGUUGAGGGUGUAUAGCUGGUUCCAAUGAUGUAGAUAGGGAGAUGAUUUGAUCUCCUCCGCCGCCUGCGCCCAUACUUUACUUAUCAAACCCUCAUUCUGCUUGGUUUACCCCCUCCUUCAUCUUAAUUAGCUUCCAUUAGUUAAAUCUCAUUUAAUUGCUAUUAAU